AGCUCCAAUAGCGUAUAUUAAAGUUGUUGCAGUUAAAAAGCUCGUAGUUGAACUUCUGUGAGUCGGGACUUGUGGCUCUUGCUACGGUCGUGGCUUGCAUCCGCUUGAGAACUAUAUUCGUCCUUUACUGGUCGGUAUAGGGAUCAGGCCUUUUACUGUGAAAAAUCAGAGUGUUCAAGGCAGGCCAUCGCCCUGAAUACACAAGCAUGGAAUAAUGGAAUAGGACUAUGAUCCAUUUUAUUGGUUAUUGGAUCCUAGUAAUGAUUAAUAGGGAUAGUUGGGGGCAUUAGUAUUUAAUUGUCAGAGGUGAAAUUCUUGGAUUUAUUAAAGACUAACUUAUGCGAAAGCAUUUGCCAAGGAUGUUUUCA
rnacentral:rRNA from 1 species